rnacentral:rRNA from 1 species
GACGAACGCUGGCGGCGUGCCUAAUACAUGCAAGUAGAACGCUGAGGUUUGGUGUUUACCUAGACUGAUGAGUUGCGAACGGGUGAGUAACGCGUAGGUAACCUGCCUCAUAGCGGGGGAUAACUAUUGGAAACGAUAGCUAAUACCGCAUAAGAGUAAUUAACACAUGUUGGUUAUUUAAAAGGAGCAAUUGCUUCACUGUGAGAUGGACCUGCGUUGUAUUAGCUAGUUGGUGAGGUAAAGGCUCACCAAGGCGACGAUACAUAGCCGACCUGAGAGGGUGAUCGGCCACACUGGGACUGAGACACGGCCCAGACUCCUACGGGAGGCAGCAGUAGGGAAUCUUCGGCAAUGGACGGAAGUCUGACCGAGCAACGCCGCGUGAGUGAAGAAGGUUUUCGGAUCGUAAAGCUCUGUUGUUAGAGAAGAACGUUGGUAGGAGUGGAAAAUCUACCAAGUGACGGUAACUAACCAGAAAGGGACGGCUAACUACGUGCCAGCAGCCGCGGUAAUACGUAGGGUGCGAGCGUUGUCCGGAAUUACUGGGCGUAAAGAGCUCGUAGGUGGUUUGUCGCGUCGUCUGUGAAAUUCCGGGGCUUAACUCCGGGCGUGCAGGCGAUACGGGCUGACUUGAGUGCUGUAGGGGAGACUGGAAUUCCUGGUGUAGCGGUGAAAUGCGCAGAUAUCAGGAGGAACACCGAUGGCGAAGGCAGGUCUCUGGGCAGUAACUGACGCUGAGGAGCGAAAGCAUGGGUAGCGAACAGGAUUAGAUACCCUGGUAGUCCAUGCCGUAAACGGUGGGCGCUAGGUGUAGGGGGCUUCCACGUCUUCUGUGCCGUAGCUAACGCAUUAAGCGCCCCGCCUGGGGAGUACGGCCGCAAGGCUAAAACUCAAAGGAAUUGACGGGGGCCCGCACAAGCGGCGGAGCAUGUGGAUUAAUUCGAUGCAACGCGAAGAACCUUACCUGGGCUUGACAUAUACAAGACAGGCGUAGAGAUACGUCCUCCCUUGUGGUUUGUAUACAGGUGGUGCAUGGUUGUCGUCAGCUCGUGUCGUGAGAUGUUGGGUUAAGUCCCGCAACGAGCGCAACCCUUGUCUUAUGCUGCCAGCAUUUGGUUGGGGACUCAUGAGAGACUGCCGGGGUCAACUCGGAGGAAGGUGGGGAUGACGUCAAAUCAUCAUGCCCCUUAUGUCCAGGGCUUCACACAUGCUACAAUGGUCGGUACAACGCGCAGCGACACUGUGAGGUGGAGCGAAUCGCUGAAAGCCGGCCUUAGUUCGGAUUGGGGUCUGCAACUCGACCCCAUGAAGUCGGAGUCGCUAGUAAUCGCAGAUCAGCAACGCUGCGGUGAAUACGUUCCCGGGCCU